rnacentral:rRNA from 1 species
AACGAACGCUGGCGGCAUGCCUAACACAUGCGAGUCGAACGAAGUCUUCGGACUUAGUGGCGCACGGGUGCGUAACGCGUGGGAAUCUGCUCUCGGGUACGGAAUAACUCAGAGAAAUCUGUGCUAAUACCGUAUAAUGUCUUCGGACCAAAGAUUUAUCGCUCAAGGAUGAGCCCGCGUAAGAUUAGCUAGUUGGUGGGGUAAAAGCCUACCAAGGCGACGAUCUUUAGCUGGUCUGAGAGGAUGAUCAGCCACACUCGGACUGAGACACGGCCCAGACUCCUACGGGAGGCAGCAGUGGGGAAUAUUGGACAAUGGGCGAAAGCCUGAUCCAGCAAUGCCGCGUGAGUGAUGAAGGCCUUAGGGUUGUAAAGCUCUUUUACCCGGGAUGAUAAUGACAGUACCUGGAGAAUAAGCACCGGCUAACUCCGUGCCAGCAGCCGCCGUAACAC